rnacentral:lncRNA from 1 species
AAGGCCAAGCCAGGCUGUGGGGCAGGCAGUCCCAACCUGACCCCAGCCCCACCACUCACCUGUCAGUGAAGGGGCUUGGCUUCAAAGGCAUGGGCUUCUUUAUCUGGGAAAGGGGUUGACAGGCGAGGAGUGGAUGCAAGAAUGGAAUAGGUGCAGGAGGUCCCACGGGGUAGAAGCUAGAUUAGCGGCAGCCCUUCCACUGGGGAAACCCCUGCUGUCCUCAAAUGGUUGCUCCCUUUACGAAGGUGUUUCCUGUGAUGCAGACGUGCAGGCUGGGCAGAGAAAGGAGACUCGGGGAUCCCCCAGUGAGGCCCCCCGUGCACAUCCGGCUGACACACUGGGUCUAAUUCCCUGCCCCUUGGACUCACUCCUUCUCCGCUGUACUCAAGCUACAGACUACUGACUCCUUCUCUGCUGACCCUGGGGGGCCCUGUGAUGCCUUGUGAUCAUCUGCAGACCUCAGGAGCAGGAGGUCCAGCACAACUCAAGAUGGGCUGUAAAAGUCAGCGUGCAGGGGUUCUAUGGCAGGAGAGCAAGAAUCUGCUGUGUCCCUGGGACACUACGCAGGGGUAGGGGCAGGGGGCACAGGGCACCCAAGAAGGGGCGGUAGCAGGGGCUGUUCCUCCCAGUUUCACUUACCAGAAUCCAAGCCCCAAGCUAAGAACUUCAUCUGGAUGGAUUGGGAAUUUACCUGACUCACCUGCCAAACACUGACUUUGUGCCAAUUGACAUGUUCCACAUUAAUUAGUCUUAAUAACAAGUGUCCUACAGUGCUUGCAAGAUAGUAUGACUGGAAUAGAGAGUAUUUCCUUGUUCUGGGUAAGAGGUAUUCUCGAAUUCAUCACUUAGUAAACAAAGGGGGAUCUUCAUAAGGGUGUCAACAAGGCCCUUGGAGCAGGAACCAGCAGGA